rnacentral:rRNA from 1 species
UGGGGAAUAUUGCACAAUGGGCGCAAGCCUGAUGCAGCCAUGCCGCGUGUAUGAAGAAGGCCUUCGGGUUGUAAAGUACUUUCAGCGAGGAGGAAGGCGUUGUGGUUAAUAACCGCAACGAUUGACGUUACUCGCAGAAGAAGCACCGGCUAACUCCGUGCCAGCAGCCGCGGUAAUACGGAGGGUGCAAGCGUUAAUCGGAAUUACUGGGCGUAAAGCGCACGCAGGCGGUCUGUCAACUCGGAUGUGAAAUCCCCGGGCUCAACCUGGGAACUGCAUCCGAAACUGGCAGGCUAGAGUCUUGUAGAGGGGGGUAGAAUUCCAGGUGUAGCGGUGAAAUGCGUAGAGAUCUGGAGGAAUACCGGUGGCGAAGGCGGCCCCCUGGACAAAGACUGACGCUCAGGUGCGAAAGCGUGGGGAGCAAACA